rnacentral:rRNA from 1 species
UACGGGGGGGGCAAGCGUUGUUCGGAAUUACUGGGCGUAAAGGGCUCGUAGGCGGCCAACUAAGUCCGACGUGAAAUCCCAAGGCUUAACCUUGGAACUGCGUCGGAUACUGGAUGGCUUGAAUUCGGGAGAGGGAUGCAGAAUUCCAGGUGUAGCGGUGAAAUGCGUAGAUAUCUGGAGGAAUACCGGUGGCGAAGGCGGCAUCCUGGACCGAUAUUGACGCUGAUGAGCGAAAGCUAGGGGAGCAAACGGG